GGAAACCUCACCCGGCCCGGACACGGAAAGGAUUGACAGAUUGAAAGCUCUUUCUCGAUUCUGUGGGUGGUGGUGCAUGGCCGUUCUUAGUUGGUGGAGCGAUUUGUCUGGUUCAUUCCGAUAACGAACGAGACUCCGGCAUGCUAAAUAGUUACGCGGCCCCGCGCGGUCGGCGUCCAACUUCUUAGAGGGACAAGUGGCGUUCAGCCACGCGAGAUGGAGCAAUAA
rnacentral:rRNA from 1 species